rnacentral:rRNA from 1 species
AGAGUCACUCCUACGGGAGGCAGCAGUGGGGAAUUGUUCACAAUGGGCGCAAGCCUGAUGACGCAAUGCCGCGUGGAGGAUGAAGGUCUUCGGAUUGUAAACUCCUGUUGCCAGGGACGAAUGGCUCCGACCUAACACGUCGGAGAAUGACGGUACCUGGUGAGGAAGCCCCGGCUAACUCUGUGCCAGCAGCCGCGGUAAUACAGAGGGGGCGAGCGUUGUUCGGAAUUACUGGGCGUAAAGGGCGCGUAGGCGGCCUUCUAAGUCGAACGUGAAAUCCCCGGGCUCAACCCGGGAACUGCGUCCGAUACUGGGAGGCUUGAAUCCGGGAGAGGGAUGUGGAAUUUCCGGUGUAGCGGUGAAAUGCGUAGAUAUCGGAAGGAACAUCAGUGGCGAAAGCGGUCUCCUGGGGCAUUCUUGACGCUGAGGCGCGAAAGCUGGGGGAGCGAACGGGAUUAGAUACCCCGGUAGUCCACGCUGUAAACGAUGACGACUAGGUGUGGGGGGGGUUAGUCCUUUCCGUGCCGCAGCUAACGCAUUAAGUCGUCCGCCUGGGGAGUACGGCCGCAAGGUUGAAACUUAAAGGAAUUGACG